AUUGAACGCUGGCGGCAGGCCUAACACAUGCAAGUCGAGCGGAGCGGCGGACGGGUGAGUAAUGUCUGGGAAACAGCCGGAGGGAGGGGGAUAACUACUGGAAACGGGCGCUACAACAGCAUACUAUCAGAUGAGCCUAGGUAGGAGUAGGUAGUUGGUGGGGUAAAGGCCUACAAAGGAGACGAUCCGGAACUGGUCUGAGAGGAUGAUCAGUCACACUGGAACGUAGACACGGUCCAGACUCCUACGGGAGGCAGCAGUUGGGAAUCUUGGACAAUGGGCGAAAGCCUGAUCCAGCCAUGCCGCGUGUGUGAAGAAGGUCUGCGGAUUGUAAAGCACUUUAAGUUGGGAGGCGUUACCAACAGAAUAAGCACCGGCUAACUUCGUGCCAGCAGCCGCGGUAAUUC
rnacentral:rRNA from 1 species